AUACAAUAAAUACAAUACCGGGCGCGUUAGUGUCUGGCAAUUGGAAUGAGUACAAUCUAAAUCCCUUAACGAGGAUCCAUUGGUGGGCAAGUCUGGUGCCAGCAGCCGCGGUAAUUCCAGCUCCAAUAGCGUAUAUUUAAGUUGUUGCAGUUAAAAAGCUCGUAGUUGGACCUUGGGCCGGGUCGGCCGGUCCGCCUCACGGCGAGCACCGACCUACUCGACCCUUCCGCCCGCAUCGCGC
rfam:Hordeum vulgare subsp. vulgare, WGS project CAJW01000000 data, contig: morex_contig_639994